UCAUCCGCUAGUCGACGGGCCGUGGUCUGCUCCUCGCAGUGUACAGCCGAGGCGCAGAGUCCCUCCGGGGAAAAGCCCCGUGGCGCCUGAGGGUGUCUGCUCCCAACCGGACCUGCGGGUGAGCAGAGCAGUCCCUUCGUGGUCGCCAACUGAAGCGGUACGCGGAAUAAAUAGAUAGACUCCACACCCUGGGGUAGUUAUGAAGUGGACGUUCCAUAUGCAAUACACUGCACGACUUUUUCAUGCGUAUUCAACCCCUGGCCCCGCCUGUCCUCGCUUCUCAUGCUAACUUUCCUCAUCAUCCCCGGGGAAUUCAACAUUCCCAGAGCUGCUGUGCCAGUGCUGAAGGAGAAAAAGGGAGUGAAAGGCUGAGGGUUUGUGAUGUAAAAGCACCAGAGGUGCUGUUGUGGACCCGAGACCUGCCUGCGGUCAAGUGCUGCCUUCCUUCCAUUUAGGAUCAUGGAGAGCGUUCGCAGGCAUUGCCCAGGGCAUAUGCCUGGCCCCAGGGCACUGCUACGCUGCCACUGGGCACUGGGAUCCAACCUGCUGCCUUU